CAGUGGCAUGUAUAUAAAUUUAUGUGUAAAUUCCAUAUGUGGGAAGAAUAUUACCAACAGAUGCAGUCUGCUGUUAUGAUAGUUUUACUUCUCAGGGAGAAUCUCUUGCUAUAUUUUUGCUUUCUGCUGCUGAAAUUAUAUUUUAAACAUGUAUAUCCUUAAAGAAAAUAAAAAUUGAAUAUUAACCUCAUAUAUUAACAUUGUGUAUGCAUUUUACUAUUCUGUAAAUAAUGUUUCUGGUUCAAAAAACAGUCACUGCAACAUAAUGAAAACAUAUUGAAAUAAGCAAACCAUAAAAUCUUGAAUGUUAGGAUGAGAUAAUAGUGAUAUUUAUUAAAUCACGAUGUCCCGUGUAAGGUUCCAGAUUCAAGAUUCUAGGUGUAAGGUUCCAGAUUCCAGAUUGUACGUGUAAGGUUCCAGAUUCUAGAUUCUAGGUGUAAGAUUUUCUUGCUUAGCCAUGGUAAACUUGUUUCUGGUGUACCUGAGCUCUGUUUGGGCUUUUCUGUGAAACAUUCUUCUGAACCUGAUAUUGGACCAAUUUGUUGUCAACUAAAAACAUUGAAUCUUUGCUUCAGUCAGUGAGCAGUUUUGGCUGGGUUUUAACUCUGUUUUAAAAAAAUAAGUCCUGUAACAUGGAUGCUCAAUGCUUUCUCCAGUACAGAAGAGAACUUGGUGGAGGCCCGUUAAAAUACUAAGCAGUAUACACUUCCUGUUUACAAUGUACCUCUGUGCGUUACCUUGAAUGACUCAAAUCACAGUCUAUCAUUCAUAAGAGAGAACAUGUAUAUGUAUCACGCAUAUGACAUUUACCCGAGGAAAUGAAAAGACAGACAUUAUGUUGUGUGUGCCUCUGUUUUUCUGUUCAACAUUAGUCAGGGUUGGAAGAAAAAAAAUGUUUUUGAUAGAAUGAAAGCCAGAUUACUUUGUUUUUACAUAUAUACAAUUCAUUGUGUUAUAUUUGUUAAAGAAUAAUACAUCUGUAGAAUAUGUAUUCAUUAAUUAUAGAGUAUUCUGAUUGUUUAGUUCGAUUAUUUUAUUUGAGGUGUUUUCUGUUCUGAGAUGCUCUUUAUUUAAACUUUAUUACCUUAUUUCCAAAUAAAGUUAUUUCCAAAAAAGUUA